GGUGCGGCUGAUUCCUAGAUCAGUCGAGGGGUGCAUACCCAUAUUGACCACAACGAGCAAUACGGACCUCCUGAAGAGAUCAUUUAUAAUACUCAAAUGUUCGAGAAGGCUCUCGGUUACUGGAAAUGGCUAGAAAUGCGCGCUUGAUAUCCUGAGUAUCGAUAUGGGCCGCGAUCUGAUACCGCCGAUAUCCAGACAUUAACGUCCAAAGUCGCGCGAGAGCGCCAGCAUGGCGGCGCGCUGCGGGGCCGAGUAUUCGUCAACGGCGGCCUCGUCGCCGUCGCGGAUCGCCUUCAGGAGCGCCGGCGUCAGAGCAGAGGUCAGCGACCAGUUCCAAUAGCGCAGCACCGUCUGGGCGCGGUCGACGGCGAUGGCGUCAUAGACCGUCAGCACACGCUCGAGGUUCGGGUCGGU
rnacentral:sRNA from 1 species